AGCAGCCGCGGCAAUUCCAGCUCCAAUAGCGUAUAUUAAAGUUGUUGCAGUUAAAAAGCUCGUAGUUGAACUUCGAAAUUUGUUCAUUGGUCAGGCUUAACUGUCUGUACUGGUGUUACGAAUUUCUACCUUCUGAGGAAUCCUCAUGCCAUUAAUUUGGUGCGGGGGGAAUCAGGACUGUUACUUUGAAAAAUUAGAGUGUUUAAAGCAGGCUAACGUCUGAAUACAUUAGCAUGGAAUAAUAAAAUAGGACGGUUUGGUUCUAUUUUGUUGGUUUCUAGGAUCACCGUAAUGAUUAAUAGGGAUAGUUGGGGGCAUUAGUAUUCAAUUGUCAGAGGUGAAAUUCUUGGAUUUAUUGAAGACUAACUACUGCG
rnacentral:rRNA from 1 species